AUUGAACGCUGGCGGCAGGCCUAACACAUGCAAGUCGAGCGGAGCGGCGGACGGGUGAGUAAUGCCUAGGAAUUUGCCUGGUAGUGGGGGAUAACGUCCGGAAACGGGCGCUAAUACAGCAUACUAUCAGAUGAGCCUAGGUCGGAUUAGAUAGUUGGUGGGGUAACGGCUUACCAAGGCGACGAUCCGUAACUGGUCUGAGAGGAUGAUCAGUCACACUGGAACUGAGACACGGUCCAGACUCCUACGGGAGGCAGCAGUGGGGAAUAUUGGACAAUGGACGAAAGCCUGAUCCAGCCAUGCCGCGUGUGUGAAGAAGGUCUUCGGAUUGUAAAGCACUUUAAGUUGGGAGGCGUUACCAACAGAAUAAGCACCGGCUAACUUCGUGCCAGCAGCCGCGGUAAUUC
rnacentral:rRNA from 1 species